rnacentral:rRNA from 1 species
GACGAACGCUGGCGGCGUGCUUAACACAUGCAAGUCGAACGGGAUCCAAAGGCUUUUUGUUUUUGGUGAGAGUGGCGAACGGGUGAGUAACACGUGAGUAACCUGCCCCCUUCUUUUGGAUAACCGCAUGAAAGUGUGGCUAAUACAGGAUAUUCCAGGCUGGUCGCAUGAUUGGUUUGGGAAAUGGUUUGGUCUGGUGGGGGAUGGGCUCGCGGCCUAUCAGCUUGUUGGUGGGGUGAUGGCCUACCAAGGCGGUGACGGGUAGCCGGCCUGAGAGGGUGGGCGGUCACACUGGGACUGGGAUACGGCCCAGACUCCUACGGGAGGCAGCAGUGGGGGAUGUUGCACAAUGGGCGCAAGCCUGAUGCAGCGACGCCGCGUGAGGGAUGAAGGCCUUCGGGUUGUAAACCUCUUUCGCUGGGUUGAAAGGCCAUGCUUUGGGUGUGGUUGAUUUGAACUGGUAAAGAAGUACCGGCUAACUACGUG